rnacentral:rRNA from 1 species
GCACCUACGGGAGGCAGCAGUGGGGAAUAUUGCACAAUGGGGGAAACCCUGAUGCAGCAACGCCGCGUGAGUGAAGAAGGUUUUCGGAUUGUAAAGCUCUGUCAGCAGGGACGAAAAAAGACGGUACCUGACUAAGAAGCCCCGGCUAACUACGUGCCAGCAGCCGCGGUAAUACGUAGGGGGCAAGCGUUAUCCGGAUUUACUGGGUGUAAAGGGAGCGUAGACGGCAAGGCAAGCCAGAAGUGAAAGGGCAGGGCUCAACCCUGUACAUGCUUUUGGAACUGUGGGGCUAGAGUGCAGGAGAG